CACUAGAGUGACAAUCUUGAACGAUAAGAUUUUAGUCAAUAAGUUGACGAAUAAUUAUCGUUGAGUUCUUCUCUUUCAAGACGUCGACGCAUUCAGUUCACUUUGUCUCUACAAAUCAAUUUUCAAAGUUUUUUAAGAGAAAUGAGUGUGAUCAAAUGAAUCGGAAACUGUAAGCGGCCACAUAACCACAAUGUUAUAGUGAUGAAACCACGUGCAAUCUUUUGCAGUUACAGUCAUUGUAUACAGAGACAAUUAUGUUCGUGGACUGUAUUUAGUGGGCAUGACUUUCAGCCUUAAUUUAAACAGUUGAAUUUGCUCUCCGAUAUAGUACAUAAGAUGUGAUAAUAUACAUUUUGCGAUUGCUGUAACAGGUAAACAACUGAAAAAAAGAAUUAAUAAUGAAUUCAAACUGAUUACUUAUAUACAAUAAAGUCAUUCAAAAUUAGAAA